AAUCAACGCUGGCGGCGUGCCUAACACAUGCAAGUCGAACGAGAAAGUGGAGCAAUCCAUGAGUAAAGUGGCGACCGGGUGAGUAACACGUGACUAACCUACCCUCGAGUGGGGAAUAACCUCGGGAAACCGAGGCUAAUACCGCAUAACAUCGCAAGAUCAAAGCAGAAAUGCGCUUGAGGAGGGGGUCGCGGCUGAUUAGCUAGUUGGUAGGGUAAUGGCCUACCAAGGCUUAGAUCGGUAGCCGGCCUGAGAGGGCGCACGGCCACACUGGAACUGAAACACGGUCCAGACUCCUACGGGAGGCAGCAGUGGGGAAUUUUGCGCAAUGGGGGAAACCCUGACGCAGCAACGCCGCGUGGAGGAUGAAGUCCCUUGGGACGUAAACUCCUUUCGACCGGGAAGAUA
rnacentral:rRNA from 1 species